ACCAGAUCGGAAUCACGAUGCCAACGGAAAAAGUCGUCGAAACUCAACCAACGAACUCGAGACUCGACGGAAAAAGGCUAUUAAACGAUUUGGGACGCCUCACUGUUCAGCCCCCAUUCUUGUUCGCUGCUGGACGUGACAGAAGCAGAAACGGGGGGAGUUGUUUGGGUAUGGCAGGUGGCUGUUCUCGUUACUGUCGCCGGAGAAGACGACGAAGCAGCGAGGGAGGAGAGGGGUGUUCGUUUGGUACGUAGCAGUGGUCUGUUUGGAAGCCGAUGGGUGGUCGACGACGAAGGUCGUCAUUCCAGACGUCAAUGGCGGGACUGUUUGGUUGUGGGCUGGGGUCUGGCUCGUUGACGACGGGGAGGUCGGGAAGAUGGGACGACGCAGGUUCACAUGAAGGUCGACGGAGGGCUCUUUGACGUGCUGCUGGAGUGACUGUCGACGACGGGCCGUGGCUUGGACUCGUGGGAAUGGGCUCUUUUUCCGUCAGACUUUUUUGUUUGUUUGUUUUAUCUUCUUUAAAAAUGAAGAGGAUGGAGAUGGUGUCUUCACUUUGUGUUCU
rnacentral:lncRNA from 1 species